rnacentral:rRNA from 1 species
CUACGGGUUGCUGCAGUGAGGAAUUUUGCGCAAUGGGGGCAACCCUGACGCAGCAACGCCGCGUGAGUGAAGAAGGCCUUUGGGUCGUAAAACUCUGUCAAUGGGGAAGAAGUUACUAUGUUUAAAUAGAGUGUAGUAUUGACGGUACCCAUGAAGGAAGCACCGGCUAACUCCGUGCCAGCAGCCGCGGUAAUACGGGGGGUGCAAGCGUUAUUCGGAAUUAUUGGGCGUAAAGGGCACGCAGGCGGUCUUGCCAGUCAGAUGUGAAAGCCCGGGGCUCAACCCUGGAAGUGCAUUUGAAACUACAAGACUUGAGUACGGUAGAGGAAAGGGGAAUUCCUGGUGUAGAGGUGAAAUUCGUAGAUGUCAGGAGGAACACCGGUGGCGAAGGCGCCUUUCUGGACCGAAACUGACGCUGAGGUGCGAAGGCGUGGGUAGCGAACAGGAUUAGAUACCCCCGUAGUC